rnacentral:misc_RNA from 1 species
CUGUACCGCCCUGCUCCCUCUCUCUCUUGCUACUAUUUUUUGUGGUGCGAGGCACUCACAAAAGCUCACGAUCAUCUGCCGUUCAUUGCAGCUUGUUUUUGCUAUCCUUUCUUGCGUUCUUUUUUUUCCUCUUCCACUCGCACUCAUCCACAUUCACACACCGGCACACGUACGUGCUGCAUCGAAGGCGAACCGUCACCAUUCUCGCACUCCUCACCCCCCCCCCUCCGGAGGCGUGAACGCUGGUUCCGUUGCUUCUGCUGCAACUGCUGUUGCCAUACCUAUCUUGAUGAGCCACGCGUCUGACAACGGCGAGGGAAAGGCUGUGAAGUCCUCGCAGCCACCGUCGCUGAAGCGGUCGUCACUGCCACCGACACGGCCGGCGGCUGCUCCCAUGACACUCGUCCCAUCCGUCGCCUCUGUCAGCUCCAACGGUGUUCAUGUUGCAACUUCUGGGAGCUCACAAGGUGUGGCUUCGCAGACGGACGCAAAGACGGCGAGCACCACCGCUGGUGCACCCUCAGAUGAUUCCGAUGGGAAGCCUUCAGAGGUUGAUGCAGCAGUCGAUCACUCAGAGCACAGCGCUGUAGAGGCUUGCUCAUUCCACUCCCACGCCGCCCCCGCUUCGCAAGGCCCUUCAUCCGUGCAACAGGCAUACACCUUUUCUUCUUCCCUGCCAUCGCCGCGGAGCCCCACCGCCGCUGCGGCUCGUGCCGCACCCGUCACCGACCAGCCGGCCAUGCAAGACAUCGGCUCCUCGACAGACGUGUCCGCCAGUGACGUUGCUAAGUGGAAGGAAAACCGCGAGUACAAGAUGCUCGAGCGAGGCAUGCACAAGAUCCUCUCCGCUAUCGACAGCACGCUCUCGGCUGACUGGGCCACGCAAGCCUCCUUGCUUGGCCAGCUUCUGGCGUGCUUAAGACAGUAUAAAGGCGUGAUUGGUGCGGUAGAGCUGCCAGACGGGCUGCACUUCGCGAAGGCGCUUGGCCGAACUCUCAGCCCGCUGAGCGUGGUCGGCGUGCAGCGAAAGGCGCUAGAGGUGGUGCAGUGCUAUCUCGAAAUCGCGAAUCCCGUGUAUCCAAUGACGAAGGACCUGCCCUUCGUGCUGCCGGGGCUGCUGGAACUGCUGCCGCAGGCGUCCAUGCAGGUAAAGGGAGACAUACUCAAGCUCCUUGACCGUGGCGUUGUGCGGCGUCUGCCCGGAUCAGCACUGCGCGCGUGCGUGCAGGGGUUACUGACGGCUCUUCUCAGCUGCUUGGAGGAGUCGGAGACGAGCUCCAUAUACCGAGGUGCCAUGGGGCUGCUUGAAUAUGUGCAGGCAGCCCUCGCUCGCGACGCACCUGCCCCGUCCUUGCCCUCCUCGAGCCAACGAGGCGAGUGGGCGGAGCUGCGGGGUGGUCAGGUGCUAGCAGCGCACAUGUGGGUGCUGAUCCGUGACGCCUCAGCGCUGCGUUCUCCUGCUCUCAACGUCAUGAAGGUCUUCAUAGCACAGAGCGGUGGCCUGGCAUCCGGCUCUGCCGCCGGCCCCGCUGAAGGGGCUGCAGAAGAUGCGGCGGUGGCGGCGUCGACUGCAUCGACUCCAACCUCUGCACUGCCGGACUGGGUUGGUGGGGAUGCCGCGACGAUGGCGUCGGCUCUACUCAACUGCCUGCAGGACACGCAGGAAAAGACCCAUCGCUUGGCCCUUGACGUUCUCGUUACGGUGUGCCCACUGACAUCGGUGGACUGUGACUCCGCGAAUUUCACACACACUCCCCUAGCAGCGUUCUUCGACGGCAACACGAACAAGCACACGAGUGCCUCUGUGGGCGUUUCACCGCCGCCGUGCUGCGGCAAUGGCGCUAUUAUUCCUUUUGAGGUGAAGUCCCUCCUCGUGGCGGCGGCUGUGCAGCUGCUUGGCACGCGGUAUGGAACGCCGAGUGUAGCGCGGCGCAUUUUUCAGUGGCUCACCGUCAACCCUGGCGUCGGCGGCAGCGUCAACGAGAGGCCGGGCAUGGACGACGACGACUCGUCCGACGCCGAUGGUGGCGAGCACCACCGCGACGCCCUCAACAGCCGUGCCUCUUCCUCGUGCGUGGCAUACGUGCAGGACAUCACCUCUUGCGUUGUGUCACGGGGGUUCGACAUGGUUGUCGAGCACUGGUGGACGCGCUGGGUCGGAAAGGUGGGUGAUGACACGCCUGCGGAGCAGGCGCCGCCGUACGUGUCAGCCGCGCUCUCUGCUCUGGAACACAGUGCUGCCCAGGCGAUCAGAACGGCGACCGCGCCGCGGCUGGCGAGUGCGUCGUCGGUUGCGGCUGCGUUGGGUGCCCGCGAGGCAAGCAGCAACUUCAUAGCAUUGCCGGAUGUACCGGUAGGCAUAUCCGUGCCUUUGGUGUGGGUGCGAGCGCUCCUGGUGCUCUUCCGCUAUCGCAGCCGCUCCACACAGGGAGGUGAUGGAGCGCUGCUGAUGAGUCCAGUCGCAGGGGACGCUGCGACAUAUGAGGGCGCCGAGGUGCCCAUUGAGACAGGCUGCGGACCGUUCCUCAUGCACGUGGCGCCUCUUCUCCUUCCUUCGCUGAGCCGCCUUAUCGCUGGGGUGUCCUCUUUUGUCGGUGGUUCGUCGGGCGGCGUCUUGGCGGGCGCUGCGGCGGAGAUGUGGACAGCAGAGCUUCACGAACUCUUGCGUGUGCUGCCGUGGGGCUUGCUUGUCGAGCUUGACACGUGCGCUGUGCAGCAUGUCGAGGAGCUGCUGCGGCCUGUGCUACACCCCCUUUGUGCGUCAGGUGUAGAGGAAAGCGACGAGGCCGCUGCGCCUGCAGCACCUUCCGUGUCUGCGCACCUACAGGCAGUCGCGGCUACUCGAGCACAGAAGCGCAUCGCCGCCCAGACAAACAACCUGUGCACGACGGCCAAGGCGUUGGAAUCCGUCUUGGUGGACGCGGCUGCCGAGCAGCCGUCACCGGCGCAGGAGUACGUGCGGGCGUCGCUACGGUGGUCGGCGAAGGUCGCGCAGCUUCUGAGUGAGGUGCUGAAAGCUCUGGAGGCGGAGAUGCGCGCUGCCGGCGGCGCGACAGGUGGUGCGACGAUGUCGAAUGAGUCUCUAGUGUGCCAAAGCCCAAUGGUUCAGCUGCUGCUGUCCACUGCUAACGGGCUGCUCCGCUUGCUUGCGCAGCGCAUGCAGCUGAUGGAGCCGAUGCUGGACAGCGUCCUUGCCGCGGCGAGCGCGACCGGGACGCCGUCGGUGGUGACCGUUGACUUUUUUUCCGCCUUUGUGAGCGCUGUGGACGCGUGCUUGCUUCGACACAUCCGCAGCGCGACUGCCAACGUGACGGUGGCCGCUCUUCACACACCCGAAAGCGACGCCAGCGGGGGUGGACACGGCACGGCGGAUGGUGCAGCUGCCACGGCUGCGCUCUUCUGCUUCCCGGAGCAUGCGUCAGACCUGCAGGAGCUGUUGGCUCGCAUGCACCGCAUCACGCUGCGCUUCACGUCCUUUCUGGCCCAGCUGCACCUCCGCUGCCAGCAGCAGGCGGCCUUUGGUGUCCUGUUAGACUCCUCGCCGGAAAACAGCGCCGGGUCGCGAGAGCGUGACUUUGCAGAGCAGACCACAGUCUGGCUUGAGUCGCUGUGCGAUGGCGCCGCCGUGGCUGCUGCCGCGGGCGCUCAUCUCUUCUUCUCUCGCGCGGUACGGCUGCUUCUGGACGCACUGCUGCGUGCACGUGGGUGUUUGCUGCCCGCGGUGGUCUACAGCACGCUGGAGCUGGUCUGCCCGACCGCGGGUGGCAUCGCUGAAGGCGUAGCGUUCACCAACGCCUACCUGCUCGCGCCGGUCGUCCGCUCCCUAUGGGAAGGCUGCGCCGGCGGCGGAGACGAGGCGAGCGGCGCGGUGGACAUGUGCAGGACGUCGCUGCUGGCGCUCAUCGCUGUUUCGCCGGCGUGCUCGCGGUGCCUCGACACGUUCCUGCUCGAGACGCCGGCAGACGCCGCCGUGCCCCGCCUCGUCGGCCUGCAACGGGAGCUCGCGGCGCUGCGUGCCCGGCAACGCCGCGGGCAAAGCCGAUCCGGCUCCACUCCGCUGCUGGAAACACUAACUGAGCUUCAGGAUCCCGGGGUGCUGUUUCUCGGUCUCUUGACAACCCUUGAAUGUCUCUUGUGCGUCCCUAGCGGCAUUCUUGCGCACGGUGGCGUGAUCGCAGAGCCGACUCGCCAGCUGGCACGUGCGUACGUCAGCCAUGCCAUUGUGCGCGAUCCGUUGAGCAUUUUGCUGCCUCUGCACUUCUCGUUCCUGUGCCCGCUGGUGACGGAGUCGGCGUGUAACAGUUCCACGAGUGGCGAGUCGAAGCGAAGAGGUAGGAUGGUGGACGCAGCCACCGCCGCUUCAUCCCCGCCGCACAGCACCGGCAGCCCGACUCUGUCCACGGUGCCGCUGACGGUGCUGCUGCCCUCCGUCACGGCAGCACCGACCGCAGAGAUGACAGGCCCUGUACCUCUAGCGAGAACGAAGUGGUUCAAGGACGUCAGCGGCGCUAUCACGGUCGGCCACGGCGGCGUGGCGCCGCGUGGGUAUCGCUGCGUAGAGGCAGCAGAGCUGGUGCGCUACUUGCUUGCUCUCCUGCAGCUACCCACCGCGGUGGAGUGGGUGCGACAGUCGAUGAAUACACCCACCCCAAACUCACUGCGUGUGCUGCUGCGCGCGCUGGAGGACCAGUCGUUUGUGCCGUCCAAUGAAGUCGAGGCGACAUCUCCGUCGUUGUUACCAUCGUCGUCAGCGACGGCGCUGGAGUGCGGAGGGGCGACAGACACUCUUUUUUCCGCCACAGCGCUGCUGCUGCUGAGCCUCGCUCGUCACGCGCUCCUUUCAGUGCAUGCUGCGCACAUGCGCCGGCAAGACUCGCUGCGCCGCCGACCGUAUCUACACUCUCCAGGCGCAAGCCGCUCGUCAAGGUCGUGGUUGCCAAGGGAGGAGUCGGCAGCCACACUGCAGUGGCGCUGCUCUACGUUGCUUGACGCUGUGACGUGCUUGAACCGGCUCUUGGAGGUGAGUCAAACCGGCCCGCGUAUGCAGCCGCACCGUACCGCGGUGAACACGUGGCAAUUCACCGCGGCUCAACUUCUGCCACUGCUUCGGCUAGCCGUGCAGGCGGAUCUGCACGCUGUGCAAGCUGUCCUACUCGACCACAUACGCGGCGUCGUGUUCUACCUCGACGACGUGGGCGGCGUGCCGGCUCGGCACAAGCCGCUAUCACACCAGGCUGAUGCGGUCGACGACACUGUCGCAUCGCGGCACUGGCUACCGCAUGCGUUCCGGCAGUCCGGACUUGCCGCACACAAGGCCAGUCUGUGCUCCACCGACCCAGCUGCACAGAAGGGUCACAGCACACAAGCGGCUGCGGAGGCGGCAGCGCCCGCGUCUUCCGCGUCAGCUGAUGCCGCCCCUGCCUUCAGCCUGCUCCCCAGCAGCAGCGGCACCGCAGUUCUUGACGACCUCCAACGAGCGCCGCCCGCCAUUCUGUCGAACAAGUCGCUGUACGCCAUCAUGGGCGAAGUUGUGGAGCGGGUGCUGAGUCAUUGCGGUGCAGCCGAAAGCCCCGCCAGCGAGGUCGACGCUACUCACGCCGACGCCGACGCCGCCGCCGCCUCGCGGUCUCGACGGGAGGAGGAAGACACGUUGGCGUUGUGGCUGCACUUCUACAGCGACAUCAUGCCAUACCUCUAUCGCGACCUCGUGCCAUCUGCGGAGAUGGCGGUCGACGUACUUCUCUGUGCGCUCGAGUUGUCGCCCGGCGCCCGCGCUGGGGACGAUGCGGCGCUACCUGCGCACUCUUUUAGCAGCAGCGCAUCUGCGCAGGCUAUCUGCUAUGCGACGCUCAUCGACGUUGCGCAGUUUCUGUGCAACCUGGCGCGCGUCGCCGAUGACGAGAAUUACGUGUUGGCCAUGCGGAAAAAGGAGUCGAUGAGCUGGAUCGCGAGCACGUUCACGCAGGAGGAUCCCGUUGCACAGGCAAAGAGGGCAACGCUGUGGGACCGCUCCCCGGUGCUCUCCCCGAUACGUGGUGCGCUGCCCCGACUCGUCACUGCGGCGACCCGCUGCAUGCGUGCCUGUGACGCCGCCGCCUCCGAAGCUGGCAAGAUAAAUCAGUCUGCUGUGUAUGCUAUGUGGGCUGCUGACACAGACACAGACGAGGCGCUUGGCUGGGGAGCGGCGACGGCGGCUACAGCAGAGCUGUUGCCGUCGACUGGGUCGGAGACACACCUGCGUGAGCAAGCCAGGCGCUUGCUCUGCUUGCUGAACCACGCUGCUGGCCCCGAGUUUCUGACGGCUUUUCUGCACGACUGGUGUGCCCAGUAUGCCUUGAGUUCCACGUGGUGGCUGUUCGAGGACAAGCAGCAGCGAGAACGUCGCGUGAGCCUUGAAGCGGCGCGGCACAUCGAAACGGAGUGCGCAUCCGAUGUGGUGGCGCCAAGGAAGGGCGGCGGCGACACGGGUGUUAUCGCGAGCGGCGAGGACGAGUGGGUGGCUGCGUGGAGAAUGAAGCGCGAAGCGCAGCAGGCCGCUUGCCUGCUGCUGGCGGACAUCGGAGUAUCUGUCAGUGAAGUGACGGCGGCACUUACGCCGCUGCUGCGAACCGCCAUUAAGGAGGAGCCGCACGCAGAGCCACUUCAGCCUGAGCAAGCUCCUGCUUUCACUGGAAAGGGCGUCAGCGGCGCUGCGGCGUCAGCGCUGGCCCCUCUCGCACCGCGGCCCUCGUCGGCGGCAGAGAUGCUGUUUUUCCUGGAUCAAGUGGUAGAGGGACACUGCGCAGAGCGGCAGGGCGGGCUUUCGGAUAAAGACGCCGAGGCGGUGCUGGCGGUUGUGGCGGAUGCCGUCUCGCAGUUUUCACCUGACACGCUUGCCUUCUGCUGCCUAUUCCACUUGCUGUACUGUGUAGUGGCGUACGCGAAGGACGAAGGGGCCGAAGGGCUGGGCGGGGCGGAGGUGAGGAAGGCACGCCGCCUCGGAGUGGGAGUCGGAAGACGGCGCCAGCCCAAAGCAUUCGGCACCACCACUGCGGCGCCAGCCACUGUUUCUGGCGUGUACCGCAAUGGCCAUUUCUCAUUUGCGCUGUGUCGCUUGUUGGAGGGCUUCCGUGUUCAACCCGUCAGUGCACAGUGCACCGGCUCGCUGCUCUCCCUGCAGCUCCUCUGCCAGACACUGCGUUCGGUUCUGCCAUCGUCGCUCGCCAUGGUCGACAACGCUGGCCGCGUGGUGGAUGCGGCCACGCAUGUGCUGCAGCGAGCCCUCCUCCCCGUGUUGCGCCACGGCAUCGCCUCCGCCUCGGAGGCGGAGAUUGUGCUCUGUGCGCCGCUGGUGUGCGCGUCCCUGCGUGUCUUGCGCGCACUUGUUGCCGGCUUCGCGCCAGAUCUCACGUUCGAGCGUCGCGCACAGCGCGACACGGUCUCGCUGCUGUUCUCCGAGCACUUCUUCCGCUACAGUCGCAGCUCUCUGCACGAGUGGGCGCUGCUGCUCCGUCAGUGGGGGAGCCUAGAUCAGGGUAUCCACAGCCUCAUAUGUGAGCGCAUGGUGCCGUCGCCAGGGCGGCUGUCGGCGAUGAUGAUGUCGCGCGAGACGGAGGCACUGCUGUGGGAGCGGUCACUACGGACGUUGGGUUUCUACACGUACGCCAUGCACAUCAGCGAGCCACCACCGGCCAUGGUUGGCGCUGCGGCAACCACAGGCGGCAGUGUUGGUGCAUCGGCUGCCACACCGAGCGUGCCGUUGGCACGCCACGCAGAGUUUGUGCGUCUUCUUCGCGAGCAGCUCACGUACGCCUUUCAGCACUUUUCGUCUUCCGCCAUCCCGACCGUCGCCCAGCUGCAACAGAAGGAGGUUUUUCUGCAGCCUGUGCGCGCCGCCCUGUUCGUGUUCCGCGUUGUCCUGCUCUGCAAUGUGCGGGAGUCCCUCGUGGCGUCGCUGUGGCCGAUUGUUCUGCCCGAGCUGUUCCGUGUUCUUUCCAUUCAGCUCACUGAGAAGGGCCCCAACACCGGCAAAGGCGCCGGAUCGCUGUCUCAGCCGUCCUCUGCCGACGUUGGUGUGCUGCGCGAGAUCGCGGCAACGCAGAUGGAGGCGCUGAAGGUAUUGGAUAUGGAUUACACGUUGUACCCCGCACACGCAUUCGCUUUCCGCUGGCUGUUCACGGACGACACGGCGCUGGAGAGCCUCGCAGCAAUGCAGGCGAGAGGGACUGCAGGGCUGCAGGGCGGCUUGCCGUGCUCGAACGUUGCCACCCGCCAACCGGCGGUGAGCCAUCUGGAGGUGCUGCGCCUCCUGCAGACAUCGCCGCAGACCGUGGCGGAGCACCUCGACGCCGCCACCGUCGUGAACGCCGUGCACGAGCCCCGCGUAUCAGCCGCUGCAUCACACCGCGACUUCUGCUUGGCUGCCCCCCUAUCCUCUAUCCCCCGCACAUGGCCCACGCUCCCGCGCCCGUCUGCUGCGGACACAGGACUACGACGCCCCUUGUACAACAUCCCAUCCAUACAUUAUCAGCGCCUUGAUGGCGUUUACCGCGCCGCUCAGGCGUUCACGUUGCUUCUGCAGAGACUGAACAUGCAUACUCCACACACAUCGGAGGCGGCGCGAUCGGGGCAGCAAAACGCGGCGACUCUCGCGAGCUUGUGCGUCGCCGUGAGUGCGGCCGUUGGCACGCACAACGAAGUGGACAUGGCGUACAUUUACGACUUGCUGGAAGCCGAUAUGACCAGCACUGAUCCAGACACGAUGCUGUAGAGCUUGGCCAUAGAACUCUUGGUCAUGCUUUAGGUGUUGGCCUCACAGCAUGUGUUGGAUCUGCAUUGAAGGUGUGUCCCGCGGAGGGGGAGGGGCGGGCGGAAGGUGGGCCCUCCCUUUCUUUUUACUCGCUCGCCACCUGUAGACGACAGUCUGAUGCAGCCGCCACUGCUACAAGUAAUUCUACUUUCUUUUCUUUUUAUUUCUUGGUUGCGCUCAUUCACCACUGCCGCGCGUUACGCGAGGACGUGCAUGCCCAAGUACGCGUGCCCGCGUUUCAGAGGCGAAGCGGCCUUCUGCCCCCUCCACACACUCCGUGUGUGUGUGUGCGUGUGUGUACUCCUCU